rnacentral:rRNA from 1 species
GACGAACGCUGGCGGCGUGCUUAACACAUGCAAGUCGAACGAAGUGGCGAACGGGUGAGUAACGCGUAAUCCACCUGCCCUUCAGAGGGGGACAACAGUUGGAAACGACUGCUAAUACCGCAUACUGACGGUGGGGAUUGCGUCUGCUUAGCUAGUUGGAGGGGUAACGGCCCACCAAGGCGAUGAUCAGAAGACGGGUUGAGAGGGUGAACGGACAAAUUGGGACUGAGAAACGGCCCAGACUUCGACCGGAGGGAGCCGUGGGGAAUCUUCCUCAAUGGACAGAAGUCUGACGGAGUAACGCCGGGGGAGGGAUGACGGCCUUCGGGUUGUAAAGUUAUGUUAAUCGGGACGCGUUACCGGAAUAGAAAGCCACGGCUAACUACGUGCCAGCAGCCGCGGUAAUAC